GUUGUGGCUCAGCGGUAGAGUGCUUGCCUAGCAUGUGCUAGGCCCUGGGUUCAAUCCUCAGCACACA
rnacentral:tRNA from 1 species